AAUUCACGUGAUGAAAUUAGAUUAAAAUUCUUACGACGGUCAUCUGAGACACAUCGUGUCAAUGUUGAUGCAUUGAUCCAAUGUUUCUGAUGGUU